AUAACCAAAUUGCGUAUGUGCAUUUCUCAGACUUCAGAAGAGGAAACAUCAGAGUAGAGUCCGACAAAACUGAUACAUCUGAGUAUUUUGAAACCCAGAACACCAACCACGGUAAGACCUUUCUGUUUCUGGUUCAACCCUAGAAAUCUAUCUUAGAUAAGUUAGUGUAAUAUUUGGCUGUAAGUCAAAGUUAAAAAAACGAAAUACGGUUUCUUUAACACUGUUAAAUCUUCACUAAAGAGCUUAAGUUAAGUUCAGCAAAAUGUCUUAAGUCAAAAAUACAAUGAAAAAAACAUAAUUAAAAGAGUUCUAAUUAUAAAAUGGUUGAUAAUUAAUGUAAGAAAAAUGUUUUAAAAGGCCAAAAUAAAAGGUAGUAAGUCCCAGUUGUAAGGUGGUAAGUUAAGAUUAAGAGUCAUAAUUAUAAAAUGACUUCAAAGUUAUAAGAAAAAUGAGAAAUAUAUAUCACAAUCUUAAGACAAAUAUAACUAUAUGAUAGAAAGUCAUAAUAUCAAGACAGUGAGUUAUGACUGGGAAAUUUUUCAGAAUUAUCACAAAAAAAUAAAGCUAUAACAUAGUCAUAAAAUUGUAAGUUACAAUUAUGAAAGUAUGUCAUGAUUAUAACAGAGUCAGUGUUAUAAGAGAGAACAUUGUGAUUAUAAGAAAAGUUUAAAUUAUGAAACAUUUUGAUGAGCCUGUCAUCAAAUCAAAUAUACAGACUGUUCAUGAAAACAAAGACUGUCUGAAUGAAAGGGUAUGUUUGAUUAUCAAAUUUAAUGAAGAUGUCUCAGAGCUGAAACUUUUAGAGAGGACUUCAGCAGUUUACACAGAGAUGUCCUGAACUGAUUUUUAUAUGAUUUGGCAUGAACAAUAAGAUGCCACAUUUUGCUGUUUCUAUCCUAGAAAGUCUGUGUAGAUGAGACCUGAGAUUUUCAACAGCAUUUACAGAGGCUGGUAGCUUAUUUACACUCUACUGACCUGAAGAGCUGCUUUACUUUUACUUUCAUUCUGACUCAAGAGCUUGUUAUCUUGACGAUCAUUCCCCAGUGUGUUUUUAAAUGGUCACGUAACAUCAAGAGUGAUUACACAGAGCCGAAGGAAAAGAGAUGUUAUCAAACAGUUUUUCAAAUGAACUUUGUUUGAGAGCCAAGGCAUCUUUUUUAAGUGGACUUUCUAUUUAAAAGUUUGCAUGUUCAGGAAUACUGUUCAACUCAUUUUGAUUUCAUUGAUUAACUUAUUUGUAUAGAAAGAGGACAGGAAAGCACUCACAGGGUAAUGUUUUGGAUUUUUUCAAAUGUAACCCAGAGAUUUCUUACAAGGAUUUUUUUUUCACAGUUUUCUAGGCUAAUUAUGAUUUUCAGGAAAUAUAAGCAGUUAUUUCCUUUUUUUUCUCUGCAGCCAUGGGAGGGUUGUAUUCAUACUUUCCAGAGCCAAACCCUGAUCCAGAGCCAUGUAAUAUUAUUUUUGAAUAUUAAACAAAUCUUUUAUCAAAAUAAAAUUUUUUGGAAAAAUUCUGACUAAACCUAAAAUUUGUUUUACUUUCAGUGUUCAGUGAGCCAUGGCGGCAACUCAACUGGAGGUAAGUGCUCUCUAAUGUACUAUUUUCCUAAAUCCCUGGGUGUGUGAUUUACAAAGUACCAGUGGAUAUACAAAACCAAAUCCUGACAGCAAAGGGUUAAGAUUCUGAGUUAAGAUCUGUUUUUUGUUGUUGUUGUUGUUGUUUUUUAACUCUCUCGUUUACUCCUCUGCUUUGUUCUUAUGUAUGUCUGUGUUUACCUGGGUAAGCACUUAGUAAACCUUUUUGAAUGGUGCAGUAUAAAUACAUUGGUUAUUAGUAUUAUUAAUAUUACCAUUAAAAUUACUAUAACUGUUAUUAUUAUCCCUGUAAUUACUCAGCUACCAACUAAAUAAACAAAUAAGUUAGCUCCAAGAAUUGAUUAAGAGAUGAUUUUGUUGGUCUAAAAAUGAUUCACUUUUACUCCUUCAGUUUUAAUGUUUGGUGCUAGUUCAUGCUCACUGCACACUUCUCUCUUGUCAAACUUGUGUUUCUGCUUUUCUGACAUAUGCAGACACACACCUUCCUCCUCCCCCCACUAUCCUCUCCCCACACAUGGCUGCAUGACAGUUUGCACUGCUGCUGCAAAAAGAGCUCAAGAUACAUCAGUCUAUGUCCACCUUUUGCAAUAUCUGCAAAUUCCAUGUGCACACAACUCUGCUGCACAUUUAUCUGAGCUAAUAAAAAGUGAAAAUGUUAUGAAGAAUUUAAAAAAGGAUAGGUCUCAGUUAAAGAUUUUUCUUCUUGCAAGAAAGAGCAGUCACAAACAGAGAGUCUGUAAGCAAAUGCUCAGAGGACUGUCCUCUGACUUUUUUUAGACACAGGGCAUUACCACUUAACAUCAGUCAUAACGAAAGCAUGCUCAUCCAUGACAAACUGUUGGCAACUCUUGCUUUCUUUGUUUUGCAGACUGGGUUCAGCUUUUGUUUCUCAGCCUUGACUCAGGGUCAGAACAGAGAUAGACAGUAACAGUGUGUUGCACAGUAUAUUUCUAUAAGAGCUGUCCUUAAAUUACCUUUGAUGACAUGAGUACAUGUACAAGGACUGGAUAAGAAGAUAUUUGUCCAGAGUCACCAUUCAUAGUUCCCCCAUACAUCUGGAAGUCCAUCUGUGUGCACUACUUACAUAAAACACAUAAGAACUAAUGUGGGACUUUUAUGAGAUAGUCACAUGACAGUUUGUGUGUACACUGACACCUCGCCUGAUCCAUCCUUUCUCUCCCUCCAUAGUUUCACAUCCUGCACUGAAUGUGCGUCACUUAAUUAUGCAAAACUAAAAUAAUGUGUGGUUGUUAUCAUUUUAUGUCACACAUCUUUCCUCCUCUGAACAGGGACAGACGAGGCAUUCUGGACUAUUUGAAGAACUACAAACCUAAGACCCCAGAACAAGUGAUCAGAAUUCUUCUUUAUGGGCCACCUGGAAGUGGAAAGUCCAGUUUCAUCAACUCUGUUAACAGUCUCUUACGUGAAAGACCGUACAUCAACGCUUUGGCAAGCCAUAACUACAGCAGAAGUUUCACCACAACGGUAUGACAACUUUUUUGUUGUAACAUAAAGGAAAUGUCUCAAAUUUGUAAUGAUAAUGAAAAAUCUACUAACUCCCAGUGCAUGCCUUUUGUCAUGAUAAUCUUUACUUUUAUUACUUUAAGGGAUGAUUUAGUUGUUUUCAAGUGUGUUAAUUUCAGGUGCUCGUCAAUGUUAAGUGUAUUUGCCAAAGGGAUCCCACAUGACUUGGGCCCCCUUUGCUGAGAUACCACAUAGAGGACUACUGCAGGUGGGCUCAGCUCCAACAAGUGAUUUCAAUCAUUUUAAUCCCCAACCAAAGCACUAAUUUUGGUGUCCACUCUAGGUGAGACUUCAAAAUCAAAGUGUUGCCUUGAUUCACAGAGAUCUUCUACCACAAUCUGUGGUUGGCUUGUUCAUACUGCAGUAUGUCUUUUAUUUAGCUUCAUGGGAAAAAGUCAUGUUAUAGAGGGCUAAAAGGCACAACCAAGCAAUUGAGGCUACAAGAUCCUUAAAGGUUAGCUGGUCAUCAAUCAUGACACCCUAGUUUCCGGACAGACUUUCUGUGCAUGAGUUUCUCUGAUUCAAACUGGGUAUCGGUCAGAGUCGAAAAUGGUGUUUCUUCAUCCAUUCUGAGAUAUCAGAAAAGCAUCAUGAGAUUUGAGCUGAAAGAGUUGUGUGUGGAUGACAGAAAGAGCUGGGAAUUGUCUGCAUAGUAAUUGUACAAAAAACAAUGAGAGACAAUAAUUACGCCAAGAAGGAAUGAAGACUUGAGUUUUAGACUUGGACUUGAGUCCAACUUACGUCGUAUACAGGACAGGCCAAAAGUUUGGACACACCCUCUCAUUUAAUGCAUUUUCUUUAUUCUCAUUACUAUUUGUACUGUAGAUUCUCACUGAGGGCAUCAAAACUAUGAAUGAACAUAUGUGGAAUCAUGUGCUUAAGAAAAAAGUGUGAAAUAACGGAAAACAUGUUUAAGUUUUAGAUUCCUCAAAGUAGCCACCCUUUGCUUUUUUGAUAGCGCUGCAAACUUUUGCUGUUCUCUCAAUGAGCUUCAUGAGGUAGUCACCUGUAUUGGUUUUUACUUCACAGGUGUGCCUUUACCAAGUACUUCUGUCAUCAAGAGCAAAGGGUGGCUAUUUUAUCACACCUGAUUUUCAGCUUCUGGUGCAUGAGCAUCCACACAUAGACUAUAACUAAGAAGGCCACUCAAGCAUAUUUAUUGCCCAAUUUUAGCCUUUUUUCAUCCCCAUGAGAUCUCUGUCCUGAAAUUAAAAUGAUCACUCAUUACCCCUGUGCAUGUUGGGAAAGUUCUGAUGAGAGAUGUAGGCCCCACCUUUUAAUGUUGGCAAAUGACUGUGGUCACAGUCUCAGAGAUAGCUUUGCACUUUCAUUCGUGGCUAUACAAUUCUUAUUUUGCUAUUUUUUAAUCUAUGGGAGACUGGACUGGAUCUUGCUGUUCAGAGACUUUGACUUGGACUCAGAGAAUGAAGAGGAAAGAUUUAAAUUAGGGGUGGGCCAAUGCAUCAGUUCUUCAAUGCAUCACGAUGGAACACGUGACGAUCAAUUAGGAUUAAAAAAUAUUCAAAGUUGAUUAUUUCCCAUGACGUUGAAAUUACAGAAACACCAGUAAGUGUUUAUUUGAGCAGCUUUUUAGGUGAAAAAAAGUGUUGGAUCAUUGGUCUAUUAAAAAUAAUAUAAUGGAGGUAAAUUUGUUUACUUUGUUUUAUGGAUGCUGACAAAUAUAUUUUUAAAAAUCCUGUAUAGAAAAAAUAUGCAUUAAUAAUUCUAAUAAUCUUUAAAAUCAUAAUAAUCAUUACAAUUGUUUGAUUAUCAAAUUGUAGCACCCUGAAUUGUGAUCGGAUUGAAUUGUUAGGUGCCAAAGAUGGCUAACCUCAACUCACUACACUCUCCUCCAUCUGUCUUUAAAAGUUCAAAACCUACAGGAUCCACAAAGGGACCUCAGGGGAAUAUUACCCUUUUGUGUUCAAUUACAUCAUGGGCCUGGAAAACAGUGGAGGGGUCCAUCCAGAUGAUGUCAAACUGGCUUUGAAAGGACAUGUCAUGGAAAAUUACGAGGUACAUUUACUGCAAACUUUGCACAUUUUUCCUCCAAAGAGAUUUAAAUGCACCAUUUAUUAAAUCAGAAUUCUGUCUUAGUUAACAUGUGUUUCAAUCUAAUGUUCUUCAAAUGAAUUGAAAACUGUUUUCCAGUUCAACCCUGAAUCCAAGUUGACUGAGGAGAAUCCGUUCUUUGUCCAAAAUCCAUCUGGGAAUGACAAAGUGAAUGUUCUGGUUUGUGUUGUUGAUGCCUGCCCGAUAUCCCUAAUAGAAGAUGAAACUCUGAGAAAGUUACGUGACAUCAGGAAGGAAGCCAUUCGCCUGGGUAAGAACAGAAAAACUUUUCCAAUAUUUUUCUCAAGGGCUAGACAAAACUUAGAAAAUAAAAACACAGUUUAAACUUUGACAGAUCUUCAAACAGUUCCUCUACCUGGUUUUGAUUUAUGUAUCUGAAGAAGAACAGUGGCUUUUGAAAUAUUUUUUCUCUCAAGGGACUCAAAGUUUUGUGUUUGACAGGGAUCCCUCAAGUGGCCAUCCUCACCCACAUUGAUGACGUCUGUCCUGUCAACAAAGAUUUAAAAACCGUCUACAGGUCCAGGUUUCUGAAGAAGAACGUAUGCUUACUUGUUGAUUUCAUAAUUUUUUUAAGAGGGAAUCAUACUUUAAAAAAGUAGUCUACAAAUAACACACCACUGGGCUCCUUCGCUCAGCACUGAUUUUUGAUUAAAAAUCAUAAUUUAUAAAAAUAAAUCAAUAAAAAUGAUUAUAAAAAUAGUGUUUUUAUCUUUUAAAACCAAAGUUGAUUAAAUACUUUGACAGAAAAACCCUUGCCCUCCCUAUGCAGGUCAUUCCACAGACCUUAGUGGGCACAAGUUCAUUUGAUCCAAGCCAGAUCUGAAUCUGUGUCCUCUAGUCAGGAUGACAGGAAGAGCUCAGUAUCAUCUGCAUAGCAGUGAUUUGAGAAUUCAUGAGUUUGGAUUAGUGCACUGAGUGAGAUUGUGUAUGAUACCCUAGAACAGUGGUUCUUAACCGGGGUUCUAUCGAACCCUAGGGGUUCGGUGAGUCGGUCUCAGGGGUUCGGCGGAGCCUCCGCCGCGGUAGCCUGGCUGGGCCAUCCUGUUGCGUCAAUCACUUGAUGUUCCUUCCCACCACAGUCUGGACUUCGGCCCAUAGAGAGCAUGUAUUCCCAAUCAGAAAAUAACUGGGCCAAUCAGAGACCGUGUUUCCACUGUUACCCGGACAACAGGGAAAGGCAGCCCCUGAUUGGUCCAUGUGUAGUGGUGACGUCUAACACAUGCUGCAGGACUUUUCAAAGCGCUGUUCAUUCAGAACACCGUUAAUUCUGCAGUUGACUCUGCAAAGUCGGCAGAAAUCGUUUAAAUCAGCAGAAGACGUCGGAUAUAAACAAUGUCUUGAAUUUGGAAAAAAAUCAUAUUUAUUUAUCACUAAAGAAGGGUUCGGUGAAUGUGCAUUUGAAACUGGGGGGUUAGGUACCUCAAACAAGGUUAAGAACCACUGCCCUAGAAGAUUCCUUUUUGAGGAAGGACACAAACCUAGAGACCCCACCAAAAGCCAGGCUGUAAGGUCCUUCCAAAGUCCUGAACUCCUCGUCUUGGUCCUUUCAAAGUCCCCAUGCUCUAAUAGAGGUCACUCAGAGUCCUUUUCUCCUCAGAGAGGUCAUCUGAAAGCCCUGAUAUCCUCAUAGAGGUUACGCCAAAGUCACUACAUUUCACCCUGAUUGGCAGUGACUGUCCUGAUCAGGCCAACCAGGAAACCAGAGACAUAUAGUCCAGAUCCAGUCUUUAUUUGAGACCAGUGUUUUUCUGUCAAAACAUACAGUGGCACCAGACUAGUAUCAUAGACUCUGAGUUUAAUUGAAUAGAUAAAUGAAACAGCCAUUCUGAAUCAGGCCUCAUUACUUCUUGUUUUAAAGAAAGGUCACUGCUCUUCCUUCUUUAAAAUUCAGCUGCUAUUAUCUGCUUAUAAUAAUCAGAUCUAAACCUCUUUGGUCCAAUUGAUCAGCAGUACAGUGCGCAUUCAACUGUGUUGUGAUUUUACAGAGCUCUGGGCUGUAAUGUUUACUGAGAGAAUUUGAGCUUUUGUUUAAAUUUGUUUCACUAGAUGGAGGAGCUCAGUGCAAAGAUGGGGAUCCCGAUGAACUGCAUCUUCCCGGUGAAGAACUACCAUGAAGAGAUUGACACCAACAAUGACAUUGAUGUUCUGCUCCUGAGUGCUCUGAAAAACAUCAUCCACUUUGGAGAAGACUACCUUAACCCCUAACUGCAGUAUUCAGCUGUGUGAUCCAUGCUGUUGAAACCCACAGAGCUAAAUGUUUAAUGUUUUGACCAUGUAAUUUAAUAUUGAAUCAUUGUUUUCUGAAGUGUCUCUUUGCUGUGGGCCAAAGUUGAGCUUUAUGUGAUCAGCUUAGCAAACUUCUUUUUUCUGCUUUCAGUGCGUUUAUAGUUAUCUCCUGCUUCUGUGAUUUUUACUCUGUAAAUUUUUAAAAAAUGCAAACAUUGAUUUCAAAUGUAUUCAAGACUUUACAUUCACAAUAAGAAACAGACCUUCUUGGUCUAAACUCCUGUC
rnacentral:lncRNA from 1 species